rnacentral:rRNA from 1 species
CUACGGGUGGCAGCAGUGAGGAAUAUUGCACAAUGGGGGGAACCCUGAUGCAGCAACGCCGCGUGGAGGAUGACGCAUUUCGGUGUGUAAACUCCUUUUAUAUGUCAAGAAAAUGACGGUAGCAUAUGAAUAAGCACCGGCGUAACUCCGUGCCGGCAGCCGCGGUAAUACGGAGGGUGCAAGCGUUACUCGGAAUCACUGGGCGUAAAGGACGCGUAGGCGGGUUGGAAAGUCAGGUGUGAAAUCCUACAGCUUAACUGUAGAACUGCACUUGAAACUUCUAAUCUAGAGUAUGGGAGGGGGAGAUGGAAUUAGUGGUGUAGGGGUAAAAUCCGUAGAUAUCACUAGGAAUACCUAAAGCGAAGGCGAUCUCCUGGAACAUUACUGACGCUAAGGCGUGAAAGCGUGGGGAGCAAACAGGAUUAGAUACCCCUGUAGUC